rnacentral:rRNA from 1 species
ACGGCGGACGGGUGAGUAACGCGUAGGCAACCUGCCCUUUGCACAGGGAUAGCCAUUGGAAACGAUGAUUAAAACCUGAUAACACCAUUUGGUUACAUGAGCAGAUGGUCAAAGAUUUAUCGGCAAAGGAUGGGCCUGCGUCUGAUUAGCUAGUUGGUAAGGUAACGGCUUACCAAGGCGACGAUCAGUAGCCGACCUGAGAGGGUGAACGGCCACAUUGGAACUGAGACACGGUCCAAACUCCUACGGAAGGCAGCAG